AUGUUGAGUUUGACUAUUUGUCCACUUUCAAAGUGAUGCUUUUGUUUGGUAGUUCAUUCUAAUCUUGGUGACCAAGAAAGUUGAGAGUAUGCUUGGAAUUAUGUUUUGAUUGUUUCCAUUAACAAGGUCUCACAUGCCAUGUCCACAGUUUGAAGUGGAAUGAGUUUAAUUUCCCCGGACAGAACUAGGAAUAAUCAGUGCACAAGUGUCAAGUGGUGCGAGGUGGAAACUGGGAAGCUUUAAUUUUAAAUUCAUUUUUCUAUUUGUUGGGUAUUGAGUGCCAUGUAAUUAAAACCGGUCCUGGGAGUCUCAAAGAAAGGGCAUCAUCUGACCUCAUGGUGCCAGAUAUGACGAAAUCGCCGAGCAGAACUACAACUAUACCUGGUGGUUAUCAUCUUACCUCAUGCUGCCAGAACCAAUUGUUAAAUUUUCUUUACUCCACCUCUGUCCGUAAAAGCAUGGAGGGUGCUUGUGAAGUUUGGAGCUAAAAUUGAAAUUGUAAAGAGCAGUCUCAACUCAAGUUAUAUAGGAACAAAACUUGAUGGUGCUCCAAUGAGGAAAAGAUCUAAUGAUUGUCUAAGAGAGCAUGUUUAGACUUGAAGUCCAGAUUAGAACAGAAGAAAUGGACUUGAUAGCCGAAAGGGGAUUCCAGCUGAGGUUGCAUCAUUUGUUUGUAAGAAUGGGAAAGCUACAUGGAUCUCAAUUGGUCCAUCUGGAAAAAAGACAGUUUCAGAUACUUGCACCUGAAAAACCCAAGAAAGUGGUAAAACGUUUAGAACAUGUUCAUAUGUUCGUGAGGUGUGUGGAUAUAUAUUAUGGGUAUUGCAUGAUGUUUUUGGGGGUUAUUAUGUAAUCUUCAAUACAUUUUGUAUCACAGGGGAUCAGGUGGAAGUAGACCGAGUAGUAGAGCUGUCUCAAUUUAAGACUUGGCUUUGGUGUAAGGCUAAUGUUACAGGCUUUAUGCCCUCAACUUUUGAGUGGUCCUCAAAUCUCAUUUGCUGUUGAGAAUCUCUAUGAUUUUUAAUUAUUCCUGCUGAUGUGUGUUUCAAAAGCUGGACUAGAGUGACAGGGUGCUAUCUCCUGUACAGGGUGGAAAUUGCUUCUGUUUUGUUGAAGGGUGUGUUUAUGCUGCUGCACUGAGGGUUAUACUGGUGAGAACAUGCUUCUCAAGGUUGUUUUCUGCGCCUUCUAGGAGCUGGUUGUGUGUAGCUUGGUGGCCGUUGUGUGCUCUAUUUGGUUGCUCCAAUUUUUACAAUCUUGCUGGACGUAUUCAUGAUAUCCCAAGGGUGAUUUUAAGUUGAAGUGGAAUCCGUUUAGACAUAAUGCAGAUGCUGACAGAGUUAGUUUUGGUUGGUGAGGAGCUUUCCUAUUUCUUCUUUUUUUCAAGUUUCUAUUUGUAUGUAUUAGCUCCUUGGAGGUGUUCCCUUGGCUUUGUAAUAUUGUGCUCUUUUUCCUUGCUAGGUUUUUCCCAAGGGGCUUUUCCUAGCAAGGUUUUAAUGAGGCUUUAUUCUCAAAGUCUUGCUUCCAAGGUUGUUCCCCUUAGUCUUUUCUCUUAUGUAAUUUUCUUUUGUUGAUCCUCUCUCUCUUUGUAUUGAGUUGACUUCUUUUCAAUAUAUGCUUUUGGCUUAUCAAAAAAAAAAAAUUGUAUCA